rnacentral:rRNA from 1 species
UACGGAGGGUGCAAGCGUUGCUCGGAAUUAUUGGGCGUAAAGGGUAGGUAGGUGGUCUCAUUUGUCUGGGGUGAAAGCCUUGAGCUUAACUCAAGAAGUGCCCCAGAAACGGUGAGACUGGAGUCCUGGAGAGGGUCGUGGAAUUCCCGGUGUAGCGGUGAAAUGCGUAGAGAUCGGGAGGAACACCAGAGGCGAAAGCGGCGACCUGGACAGGCACUGACACUCAAGUACGAAAGCGUGGGGAGCAAACAGG